CACGGAACACUUACUUUCGGUGCAGAGAGGUGAAGGUGUUUUAUCUACUGCAAGGACGCGUUCUUCGCAUCAGUGAAAGGCCUUACUUUAAAGAUGAGGAAACUGAGGCACAGAGAAAUUAAAUCACUUGCCUGCUGGCUUGCACCUGGAAAUAUCUUCUCUUUGAACAUUAUGGAUCUUAAAAAGAAUAUCUACUGUGCAUUCUUUACUUGUUUUUUUACUUUUGCAGUGCUGGAGAUGGAACCUAG